GAUCUGGAACAUGCUGUUCUUUGUUCUUGAUUGAGCUUAAAACCGAAACAAACCCACGAACUGUGACCAUGGAAACUAGAUAAAAUCGAAAACAGCUAUAAAGACAACGAGCAGGAGUCAUGAUAAAAGGUCCGGCUGUAUAAAUAAAGUCGCAACUUUUCUUCUUAUUUCUAUCACCUUAUAUUAUAAAUAACAUAAAGGGAACAUUUUUCUUUUUCUUUUUUCCAUUUUGGUUAUAUGGGCAAAUCACUUUCAUCAACCGCAACAAAACUGCAAGAACUUGCCAAGGCGGUCUCUUCAUCACCCGAGAGGCUGCAAAGAGUGAGGCCAAAACACUCAAAGCCGCCACCUUUUUUGAGAAUUCGAUCUGAAACAAGGAGGCCGACUUCUGCGGUUCGAGUUGACUCGGAGCCAGUGAAGAAGCCUAAAAUGGAGGACAAUUGGGAGGGCCAAAAGAGGGUGCCACUGGCUCAGGUGGUUUCAGAUUGUGUAAAACGGUGGUUCCAAGAUACUCUCAAGGAGGCCAAGAAGGGUGACUCGUCAAUGCAGGUCCUUGUUGGGCAAAUGUACUUCAGUGGCUAUGGUGUUCCUAGAGAUGCCCAAAAGGGCCGUGCUUGGAUUAAUAGAGCUUCGAAGAGUCGAUCUUCAGUCAGUGAUAAACCUCCAGGUUAUAAUGCAAGUGACUCAGAUUCUGAUGAAUUAAAGGGUGAUACAAAUUGAGAUCAAAUAUACGCUCCUAUCAGAAUCGUCUAUUCCAAUGUGAGAUAAAUUCUGCCUUGCUUUUGUUGGCCAACUGUUCUGAUGUGUCCUGGAUUUGGAACUACCUAGUUUUUCUAAUUCUGUACAAGUACUGUUUACAGGACUUUUCCUGGUUAGAGGGACGUGAGUUUAGAAGUUUGAGUGCAGGGUUUAUCUCUGGAUUUGAUACCACUUUGCUGUAUAACAUUGACUAAAUUUUUGGUUUGAUUCUUAAAAUCUUCUAGGGUAGAUUAUCAGUUUCUAUUCUAGUUUUCUAUUACUUCUAUUUUAGUUUGUUUUCGUGGAGAAUUCAUAUUCAAGUUCAGCUUUCACAAUUCCGGAUUUUUAGAGAGUAAUUAGUAAUUCCAUCUUUGAUCAGCACAAAACACAAAAGUUUGCUAUAGCAGUAAAAGCAUGGAGGACAUGACUUUUUAUUUCUUUUUCGACUAUGAGAAUAUAAAUUAAUGUAAUUGCUAAGCAUAAACGGCUGCAAUUAACUCCUGUGGACAAAUGUUCAUUGCAACAGCAAACUUAGCUAUUGUGGAACAUAGAAUUUCUAGGCAUGCUGGUUUGUCUGGAGACUAGAUGAAUUAGGAUGUUUUGAUUCUUUAAAGGGCAAUUUCUGGACAUCUUAGGUUAUAUGAGGCCAAUAUCUGAGUGGAAUCUUGGGCUGUGCCAGUUUUGUCAUCACAUUUUCACUCAAGUGUUGAGCCUAUUUAUAUCUCUAAUCUCCAAAAAAUUGUUUAAUUUUCUUUCCUUUGUAAUUUUUACUCUAGGUAUGUUUUCACCCUCAAUUCACUGUAUUUAUUAUUUUGAAUUUUGAGCUUUCAAUAGAAUUUAUAUUUCCUUUUCUGCA